rnacentral:rRNA from 1 species
UAAGCGACUAAGCGUACACGGUGGAUGCCCUGGCAGUCAGAGGCGAUGAAGGACGUGCUAAUCUGUCGAUAAGCGUCGGUAAGGUGAUAUGAACCGUUAUAACCGGCGAUUUCCGAAUGGGGAAACCCAGUGUGAUUCGUCACACUAUCAUUAACUGAAUCCAUAGGUUAAUGAGGCGAACCGGGGGAACUGAAACAUCUAAGUACCCCGAGGAAAAGAAAUCAACCGAGAUUCCCCCAGUAGCGGCGAGCGAACGGGGAGCAGCCCAGAGCCUGAAUCAGUGUGUGUGUUAGUGGAAGCGUCUGGAAAGGCGCGCGAUACAGGGUGACAGCCCCGUACACAAAAAUGCACAUACUGUGAGCUCGAUGAGUAGGGCGGGACACGUGGUAUCCUGUCUGAAUAUGGGGGGACCAUCCUCCAAGGCUAAAUACUCCUGACUGACCGAUAGUGAACCAGUACCGUGAGGGAAAGGCGAAAAGAACCCCGGCGAGGGGAGUGAAAAAGAACCUGAAACCGUGUACGUACAAGCAGUGGGAGCCUCUUUUAUGGGGUGACUGCGUACCUUUUGUAUAAUGGGUCAGCGACUUAUAUUCUGUAGCAAGGUUAACCGAAUAGGGGAGCCGAAGGGAAACCGAGUCUUAACUGGGCGUUAAGUUGCAGGGUAUAGACCCGAAACCCGGUGAUCUAGCCAUGGGCAGGUUGAAGGUUGGGUAACACUAACUGGAGGACCGAACCGACUAAUGUUGAAAAAUUAGCGGAUGACUUGUGGCUGGGGGUGAAAGGCCAAUCAAACCGGGAGAUAGCUGGUUCUCCCCGAAAGCUAUUUAGGUAGCGCCUCGUGAAUUCAUCUCCGGGGGUAGAGCACUGUUUCGGCAAGGGGGUCAUCCCGACUUACCAACCCGAUGCAAACUGCGAAUACCGGAGAAUGUUAUCACGGGAGACACACGGCGGGUGCUAACGUCCGUCGUGAAGAGGGAAACAACCCAGACCGCCAGCUAAGGUCCCAAAGUCAUGGUUAAGUGGGAAACGAUGUGGGAAGGCCCAGACAGCCAGGAUGUUGGCUUAGAAGCAGCCAUCAUUUAAAGAAAGCGUAAUAGCUCACUGGUCGAGUCGGCCUGCGCGGAAGAUGUAACGGGGCUAAACCAUGCACCGAAGCUGCGGCAGCGACACUGUGUGUUGUUGGGUAGGGGAGCGUUCUGUAAGCCUGUGAAGGUGUACUGUGAGGUAUGCUGGAGGUAUCAGAAGUGCGAAUGCUGACAUAAGUAACGAUAAAGCGGGUGAAAAGCCCGCUCGCCGGAAGACCAAGGGUUCCUGUCCAACGUUAAUCGGGGCAGGGUGAGUCGACCCCUAAGGCGAGGCCGAAAGGCGUAGUCGAUGGGAAACAGGUUAAUAUUCCUGUACUUGGUGUUACUGCGAAGGGGGACGGAGAAGGCUAUGUUGGCCGGGCGACGGUUGUCCCGGUUUAAGCGUGUAGGCUGGUUUUCCAGGCAAAUCCGGAAAAUCAAGGCUGAGGCGUGAUGACGAGGCACUACGGUGCUGAAGCAACAAAUGCCCUGCUUCCAGGAAAAGCCUCUAAGCAUCAGGUAACAUCAAAUCGUACCCCAAACCGACACAGGUGGUCAGGUAGAGAAUACCAAGGCGCUUGAGAGAACUCGGGUGAAGGAACUAGGCAAAAUGGUGCCGUAACUUCGGGAGAAGGCACGCUGAUAUGUAGGUGAAGUCCCUCGCGGAUGGAGCUGAAAUCAGUCGAAGAUACCAGCUGGCUGCAACUGUUUAUUAAAAACACAGCACUGUGCAAACACGAAAGUGGACGUAUACGGUGUGACGCCUGCCCGGUGCCGGAAGGUUAAUUGAUGGGGUCAGCGCAAGCGAAGCUCUUGAUCGAAGCCCCGGUAAACGGCGGCCGUAACUAUAACGGUCCUAAGGUAGCGAAAUUCCUUGUCGGGUAAGUUCCGACCUGCACGAAUGGCGUAAUGAUGGCCAGGCUGUCUCCACCCGAGACUCAGUGAAAUUGAACUCGCUGUGAAGAUGCAGUGUACCCGCGGCAAGACGGAAAGACCCCGUGAACCUUUACUAUAGCUUGACACUGAACAUUGAGCCUUGAUGUGUAGGAUAGGUGGGAGGCUUUGAAGUGUGGACGCCAGUCUGCAUGGAGCCGACCUUGAAAUACCACCCUUUAAUGUUUGAUGUUCUAACGUGGACCCGUGAUCCGGGUUGCGGACAGUGUCUGGUGGGUAGUUUGACUGGGGCGGUCUCCUCCUAAAGAGUAACGGAGGAGCACGAAGGUUGGCUAAUCCUGGUCGGACAUCAGGAGGUUAGUGCAAUGGCAUAAGCCAGCUUGACUGCGAGCGUGACGGCGCGAGCAGGUGCGAAAGCAGGUCAUAGUGAUCCGGUGGUUCUGAAUGGAAGGGCCAUCGCUCAACGGAUAAAAGGUACUCCGGGGAUAACAGGCUGAUACCGCCCAAGAGUUCAUAUCGACGGCGGUGUUUGGCACCUCGAUGUCGGCUCAUCACAUCCUGGGGCUGAAGUAGGUCCCAAGGGUAUGGGCUGUUCGCCAUUUAAAGUGGUACGCGAGCUGGGUUUAGAACGUCGUGAGACAGUUCGGUCCCUAUCUGCCGUGGGCGCUGGAGAACUGGGGGGGGCUGCUCCUAGUACGAGAGGACCGGAGUGGACGCAUCACUGGUGUCGGGUUGUCAUGCCAAUGGCACUGCCCGGUAGCUAAAAUGCGGAAGAGAUAAGUGCUGAAAGCAUCUAAGCACGAAACUUGCCCCGAGAUGAGUUCUCCCUGACCCUUUAAGGGUCCUGAAGGAACGUUGAAGACGACGACGUUGAUAGGCCGGGUGUGUAAGCGCAGCGAUGCGUUGAGCUAACCGGUACUAAUGAACCGUGAGGCUUAACCU